GCGCUGCGGCGGUAGGAGGAGGACGGGGAAGGACGGAGCCGAGCCGCGGCUGCCUCCCUCGCUCUCUCCCUGGCACACUCGCCCGCCCCCUCCCUCCCUCCCCUCCCUUCCCCAGCCCCGGCUCCGGCCCCGGCCCAUUCGCUGUUCGGUCUUCUGCAGGGAGGAUGUUGGGCUCGUCGCUUCCCAGCGCCCUGGCCCUCUCGCUGUUGCUGGUCUCUGGCUCCCUCCUUCCAGGACCAGGCGCCGCUCAAAACGCUGGGUUUGUCAAGUCGCCCAUGUCAGAAACUAAGCUCACUGGGGACGCCUUUGAGCUGUACUGUGACGUGGUCGGGAGCCCCACGCCAGAGAUCCAGUGGUGGUACGCAGAAGUCAACCGGGCAGAGUCUUUCAGACAGCUGUGGGACGGUGCUCGGAAGCGCCGUGUCACCGUAAACACCGCCUACGGGUCAAACGGCGUGAGUGUGCUGAGAAUAACCCGGCUCACCUUGGAGGACUCUGGGACUUACGAGUGCAGGGCCAGCAACGACCCCAAGAGGAAUGACUUGAGGCAAAACCCCUCCAUAACAUGGAUUCGAGCCCAGGCCACCAUAAGCGUCCUUCAGAAGCCAAGGAUUGUCACCAGUGAAGAAGUCAUUAUUCGAGAAAGUCCUGUGCUCCCUGUUACCCUGCAGUGUAACCUCACCUCCAACUCCCACACCCUUACAUAUAGCUACUGGACAAAGAAUGGAGUAGAACUGACUGCCACUCGUAAGAAUGCCAGCAAUAUGGAAUACAGGAUCAAUAAGCCAAGAGCUGAGGAUUCAGGCGAAUACCACUGUGUAUAUCACUUUGCCAGUGCUCCUAAAGCAAAUGCCACCAUUGAAGUGAAAGCUGCUCCUGACAUCACUGGCCAUAAACGGAGCGAGAACAAGAAUGAAGGGCAGGAUGCCAUGAUGUACUGCAAGUCAGUUGGCUACCCCCAUCCAGAGUGGAUCUGGCGCAAGAAGGAGAAUGGUAUGCCCGUGGAUAUUGUCAACACUUCUGGCCGCUUCAUCAUCAUCAACAGGGAAAAUUACACUGAGCUGAGCAUCAUGAACCUGCAGAUCACUGAAGACCCUGGCGAGUAUGAAUGUAAUGCUACCAACUCCAUUGGCUCUGCCUCCGUUGUCACCAUCCUAAGGGUACGCAGCCACCUGGCCCCACUCUGGCCUUUCUUGGGAAUUCUGGCAGAAAUCAUCAUCCUUGUGGUGAUCAUUGUUGUGUAUGAGAAGAGGAAGAGGCCAGAUGAAGUUCCUGACGAUCAUCAGGCAGAUUGAGCUUGAGGAGAAUCCAAGUCAAGCCUAGAAGCCACCCCAAGAUCGCAGGCCACCUGGCCUUUCAGACAGAUUUAAGUGAGCGAUAUGCAUGCUUUUGGAGUUUGUUUAAUCUCCGCUUCAGUCUAUACGAUGCACAGUUCAUAAUGUUAACACUUUUCUUCAAGUUUACUUCAUUCACUUUCACAACUAAUUUGGAUUUCAGUUUGCUGUUUAAUCCUCAUUUACUUUGAUUUUUGUACCUUUUUUCUGUAGUUCUGUUCUUUCCCUCUCUCCUGAUUCCCCUGUUAGAGGUCAAGUUGUUAUUUUGUUUGACCUGUCAAGAGAGAGUGGUGUUGCAGAAAGUGAUUCAGUCCAGGGAAGUGGGAGACAUGAGGCUCUUUUCUUUGUUCCUUGUAAAUGUGAAAGUGGAUUUGGGGAAAGAGAUGAAGGGGCUCGUGAGAUGUUAGACACUAGUGUGAACAGCAUCUGCUCCCACUUGCAGGCAUGGCAGCGACAUCAGGGCCACUGUUGCUGAAAACCCCUACAUGCAGCCCUUUGCACGUUACUGGCUUGUUGGGCUGGAAACUGACAUUCCUAGACGCCAGGGCAUACGUAAACCCCCACUAUUGAAGAAAGAAGCUUGUGGUGUGAAAUGCUUGGGUUGGUGCUGACAGCGUCAUGCUUGGAAAAGAUUAGCUUGGCUAUUGCGAUCCCCUCUCCCUUGCUUUUUCUCUUAGAGUUGGGAGUAGAUUGGUGGCAUUCUUGAAUCAGCUAUCUUGCUUUAGAAUUUGUAUUUUCGGGUGCACAGCCAGAGCACUAAAAAUAUUCUAAGUCUGCUCCUGUGUCUUUCCUGUUAAGUCUCUGAAGUGCUUAGUUUCUAGCAUGUAGCUGAGCUGGCUUGGCCGGCAUGCUGAGAGCGUCAGGGUGCUGAGGUGAGGGAGGAUUAGGCUGGGCUCCUGUGUCUCAGUACCUGAUACGUCUUUAUCUCCACUCUGUACACAGCACACAGAUGUCUCGGGUGUCCUCAAGUCUUAGUUUGUUCUCUGUUCUGUUUGAUAGUGUACUCUUGUCAGUAGUAGAAUCCUGUGGACACUGGUGUGUUACUAGCCUGUUGUUUUGGCUGAUAAGUCAUUGGUUUGUGGUUAGUUUUGUUUCUGUUUUUGUUUUUUUGUUUUUUGUUUUUGUUUUUGAAAUCUUUUUUUGCUCCAGUCACUGUGUGUGCUGGCGGUGGCUUUGCCUCUCCGUUGCCUCCAAGGACCAGGUGGAGCAAUGUCUCCCUCUGACAGACAUUACUCCUGACGUGUGCUCCUGCAGAUGCCUCCACCGAGACUGUAACCUCCAUAACUGCUUCAUGUGCACCAAGUCCCCUUGUGGAAUCCUGCUGAGAGUUUUUCUAGAAGCCGUCAGUUCUGAAUCAUUUAGCAUACUUGACUUCUGUAAAAUAUAAAGAAACUAAGAGCACUUACUUGUUCCCUCCCCUGAGGGCCUUAUAAAAAGAAAAAUGUGUGUGUGUGUGUGUGUGGGGGGGGUACACACACACAUAUACAUGUAUCUCCCGGAUUAAAGGGGACCAAGUUGUUCCUAGUUGAAACAGGAAAGAAAAACUUAUAAAUCAGAAUCAUAAAGUACCAAUUUAAGGAAGCACCUAAACUCAGAUGUUAGCUUUUUGAUUAAAAAAACCAAACCAAAAAAGAUAGUUCAUGGCUCAUCUGGGCUCAUGUUCUGGUUUUGGCCAGGGCACAAGAGUGAGCGUGUCUUUCUAUCUGAAGUCUUUGCUAGAGGGACUAUUCAACUUUGCCUGGUCUGUCACAGAACAUCCUCUGGUACGCAUACACUUGUUGCUGGCAUAACGCAGCCUGACUGAGCCAGUAGUAGGUUGAAUUAUUGUGGCUUCUUCUGUCUCAUCCUCCAGAGUAAAGACUCUCCUAAAGAUUACAAAACAGCAAGAACAGUGUCCUUUGGGGAAGUGAGGAUGUGUGGCUAAAUGUGUAGAACAUACACAUCCAUCUACAUUGCAGGACUGAGCCAAAACUAUGCAUGCAUUCACCACAGAAAACAAACAGCAGGAUUUUACAACUGAAAUGUUGGUUUGUCUUCUCAUCUAUUUAAGAGUGAACCACUGGAACUUGGGGACAAGAUGAGUAUAAUGAUAUUGCAGCCUAUCUGUCCGCUACAGUUGCAGUUUUUCAUGACAAGCAUUCAAAGUGUUAACUAAAACCAUUGAAACAACAUACCUGCCAUUAAAAACUUGAAUCUGGAAAUAAUAACUCCAUGAGUGUUUUGCACCUCCAGACGGAAUGGCCUUGAAUAAACGCUAUAAAUAGCCAUGUUUGCCACUUGCCGUUUGCUGUAUUAUUAAUCCUUAUGCAGAGUCUCAUAAUUUUUUCCUUUCUUCUUCUGUCUCUCCAUGGAUUAAAAAACUGAACACCUCUGUAGAUGAUGAACCAGCUGGGCCAAU